UCAGAUACACUGCUCCACAUGCACAGAAACAUCUUAUUUUUAAGAUAUUUAUUACAAACUGUGAUUUAUUUUUUUUUCUCCUGCUUCUUGUCUUAUUGAAUUAUUCUUUAGGAAUCUGAUCUCCCUGCACAGAAAUGUCUGAUGACUGAUCCUGUAUUGGGACACUUAAAUAGUUAUGGAGAUAUGAGGCUUGACAGAAAGAGGGACUGAACCAAUGAGGUCAGCUUCUCCCAUUGCAUCAUUUGGCACAAGGAUUCCUUUCUGUAACUCUUCCUAUCUUCUCUCCAAAUGAUACCAUCGUACUAUCUCUUGAUAGAAACUUUCACAGCACUGCCUGAGGAAAGGGAAAAUCCCAACACACAUGCACGCACGUUGCUGUUGCCAAGGAUUUUACAGCUGUACUCCGAGAAGAUAAUCUAUGGUCAGUCCAUCUCAUCUGUAUGAUCACAGGUAAGCUUGGUUUCUUCAAGAGCACUUCAUCCCCUUUCUUUGCUUCCCCCCUAUUCCUGACAUGUUGCCUUCCGUCAUUUGGUUGUUCUUCAAAGGAGGAAAUUACUGGAGUACCCAAGACAGUUUCUCAUA
rnacentral:lncRNA from 1 species